rnacentral:lncRNA from 1 species
UUGGGUUAUCGUCUGCAUUCCUGACGUAGUGUUUACAGCUUCCUGCUUAUGGCAACAAGGAAGCAGAACGCAGAGUGAUGAGAGAUUUAUGUGGAUAUGAUAGCACUGGACACUUCGAGGCUCCAUUGGCAAAACAUGCGGCAAAUAGGAAACCAAGGGUAGACCUUUGACAUUUAAGAAGUAUAUGCCCUAAGAUUUCUACAGAUCCUGAAAUUCAUCACUACGGCAGAAUCACGCAUCUUAUGAAAACCAAGAAUAAAAUGACACCUGACAACCUUGCCAGCUCAGCACAUCUGGAGGCACUAAAUGUCUGAC